rnacentral:rRNA from 1 species
CUAAGGUGAUCGAGAGAACUCUCGUUAAGGAACUCGGCAAAAUGACCCCGUAACUUCGGGAGAAGGGGUGCUCUGUUAGGGUGCAAGCCCGAGAGAGCCGCAGUGAAUAGGCCCAGGCGACUGUUUAGCAAAAACACAGGUCUCUGCGAAGCCGUAAGGCGAAGUAUAGGGGCUGACGCCUGCCCGGUGCUGGCAGGUUAAGAGGAGCGCUUAGCGUAAGCGAAGGUGCGAAUUGAAGCCCCAGUAAACGGCGGCCGUAACUAUAACGGUCCUAAGGUAGCGAAAUUCCUUGUCGGGUAAGUUCCGACCCGCACGAAAGG